GGGCGAUUAGCUCAGCGGGAGAGCACCUGGAUCACAACCAGGGGGUCACUGGUUCAAUCCCAGUAUCGCCCA
rnacentral:tRNA from 1 species